AGUGAAUAGAUACCCGGGUAGUCCUAGCCGUAAACGAUACUCGCUAGGUGUCGGCCACGGUGCGACCGUUGUCGGUGCCGUAGGGAAAGCCGUGAAGCGAGCCACCUGGGAAGUACGGCCGCAAGGCUGAAACUUAAAGGAAUUGGCGGGGGAGCACCACAACGGGUGGAGCUUGCGGUUUAAUUGGAUUCAACGCCGGAAAUCUUACCGGGACCGACAGCAACAUGAAGGCCAGGCUGAAGACUUUGCCGGAUUAGCUGAGAGGUGGUGCAUGGCCGUCGUCAGUUCGUACUGUGAAAGCAUCCUGUUAAGUCAGGCAACGAGCGAGACCCACGCCCACAGUUGCCAGCGUACUCUCUGGAGUGACGGGUACACUGUGGGGACCGCCGCUGCUAAAGCGGAGGAAGGAAUGGGCAACGGUAGGUCAGUAUGCCCCGAAUAUCCCGGGCUACACGCGAGCUACAAUGGUUGGUACAAUGGGUAUCUACCCGAAAGGGGAUGGAAAUCUCCUAAAGCCAAUCUUAGUUCGGAUUGAGGGCUGCAACUCGCCCUC
rnacentral:rRNA from 1 species